AGUGAACGCUGGCGGUAGGCCUAACACAUGCAAGUCGAACGGCAGCACAGUAAGAGCUUGCUCUUACGGGUGGCGAGUGGCGGAUGGGUGAUAAAUACAUCGGAAUCUACUUUUUCGUGGGUGAUAACGUAGGGAAACUUACGCUAAUACCGCAUACGACAUACGGGUGAAAGCAGGGGAUCUUCGGACCUCGCGCGAGUGAAUGAGCCGAUGUCGGAUUAGCUAGUUGGCGGGGUAAAGGCCCACCAAGGCGACGAUCCGUAGCUGGUCUGAGAGGAUGAUCAGCCACACUGGAACUGAGACACGGUCCAGACUCCUACGGGAGGCAGCAGUGGGGAAUAUUGGACAAUGGGCGCAAGCCUGAUCCAGCCAUACCGCGUGGGUGAAGAAGGCCUUCGGGUUGUAAAGCCCUUUUGUUGGGAAGGAAAAGCAGCAGGUUAAUACCCCGCUGUUCUGACGGUACCCAAAGAAUAAGCACCGGCUAACUUCGUG
rnacentral:rRNA from 1 species